rnacentral:lncRNA from 1 species
CAGAGCAAAAACUUCAUCUCAAAAAAAAAAAAAAAAAAAAGAUGUAGGAAGCAAGUGAGGUAUGGCUUUGCAGAAUAAGGAUUUUAAAUGGAUUGGUGGUAUAAGCGGGCAAAAAAUAUUCCUGUGAUGGUUAAUUUUAUUUUUCAACUUGACUAAACCACAGGUACCCAUACAUUUGGUCAAACAUUAUUCUAGGUGUGUCUGUGAGGGUGUUUCUGGAUGAGAUUAACAUUUGAAUCUGAAGAAUAAAACAGGUUCCUCCUUAAUGCGAGUGAGUUUCAUCUAAUCUAUUGAUAACCUGUAUAGAACAAAAAACUGAGCAAGAGAUAACGUUGCCUGCCUGCCUGCCUACUUGAGACAUUAGUCUUCUGCCUUCAGAUUGGAAUUUAUAUUAAUACCAUCUACUCCUUGGUUCUCAGUCCUUCUGACAUGAACUGGAACAACACCAUCAGCUCUCCCGGAUCUCCAGCUUGCAGACAGCAGAUCAUGGGACUUUUCAGCUUCUGUAAUUGUGAGGUGGUUGAGAACCAUUGACGUAGACUGACUUAGCAGAUCUUCAAAUGUGAAUAGGGAAUCCUGCCAUUCCACUGAUGAGAACAGCAUGCUUAGGAUAUUGCUUCUGAGAAGAGAGGCAUCCUGUUGUAUGUAGUGGCCACAUAACAGACUGCAAAGAACUGGAACGCAGAGUAAUUUUAAUCCAAAAUGUUCAAAGGAUGAACAAAACUGCAAUAAAGCAGAGUAAGUAAACACAAAGAGUGGCCAAGAUGGCCAACUAAAAGCAGAUAGGAUGCGUGGCUCUCACAGAGAGGAAAGGAAGGAAGGGGCAAGUAAAUACAGCACUGCCAACUGACACAUCCAGACAGUCAACACUGGGACUAAUCAAGGAAACAACUCGACCCACAGAGAAUGGAGAAGAGCAAGGCAGGACGACGGCCCAUCUGGGAGCAGAAUGUGGAGCCAAGGGAACCUCCCUUGCCAAGGUAAGCAGCGAGUGAUUGUGUGAUCCCAGGAAAACUCUUCUCCCAUGGAUCUUUGCAACCCUCAGAUCAGUAGAUCCCUUCAUAAACCCACUCCACCAGGGCCUUCAGUCUGACACACAGAGCUACAUGGAGUCUUGGCACAGCAGCUUCUCAGGCACACAGGAGACCUGGGAACUUUAGAUACUCUGGUUUUCCAGGCUUCCCAGCACAAGUAGCUGCAACUCUGGCAAAGCAGGAGGUUAGACCACCAUAGAUACCCCUAGGAAAGUGGCUGAAUCCAGGGGGCAAAGCAGCGAUGGUCUGCGGGCCCUGCUUUUAUGGCACCUCACAGGAUAAGACCCACUGGGUUGGAAUUCCAGCCAGCCACCAGUAGCAGUGUUGCACCUACCCGGGACAGAGCUCCUGAGGGGAGGGGCAGGCUGUCAUCUUUACUGUUUGGAGAGUCCAAUCUGACUGGGGCAGAAGGGAUACCCCCUAGCACAACACAGCUGCUCUACAAAAACAUAGCAAGACUGUUUCUUUAAGCAGAUGCCUGAUCCUGUUCCUCUUCACAGGGAAGAACCUCACAACUGGGGCCUCCAGCCACCCCUGCCAGUGCUCUCCAGCUGACAGAGAUUUGAAAACUCCCUGGGACAGAGCUCCCAGAGGCAGUGGGGGGCAGGCUGCCAUCUGUGCUGUUUGGGUGGCUUAGUAGUUCCAGCCUUUGGGCUUUGGAGAGUCCAAGCUGACUGCGGGUGAAAGUAGUACCCCAGCACAGAAGGUCCCUGACCCCAUUCCUCAUCACUGGGUGGAGCCUCCCAACCAGGGUCUCUGGCUGACAGAGGUUUCAGGCCUCUCUGGGAUGGAGCUCCCAGAGAAAGAAGGAGGCUGCCAUCUUUGCUGUUCACAGCCUUCACUGGUGAUACCUCCAGGUACUGGAAAAUCUGAGGUGAUUAGGGACUGGAGUGGAUCCCCAGCAAACUGCAGCAGGCCUUAAGAAAAGUGGCCAGACUGUUUAAAACAAAACAAAAAAACCAUCCAGAGGUCA